GACGAACGCUGGCGGCGUGCUUAACACAUGCAAGUCGAACGGAAAGGCCCCUUCUGGGGUACUCGAGUUGCGAACGGGUGAGUAACACGUGAUUAACCUGCCCUUGACUUCGGGAUAACUUCAGGAAACUGGGGCUAAUACCGGAUAGGAAUCCUUGCUGCAUGGUGGGUGUUGGAAAGCUUCGGCGGUUUUGUAUGGACUGGCGGCUUAUCAGCUUGUUGGUGGGGUAGUGGCUUACCAAGGCUUUGACGGGUAGCCGGCCUGAGAGGGCGACCGGCCACAUUGGGACUGGGAUACGGCCAAGACCCCUACGGGAGGGAGAAGUAGGGAAGAUUGAAAAAUGGGCGGAAGCGUGAUGCAGAAACGCCGAGGGCGGGAUGACGGCCUUCGGGUUGUAAACCGAUUUCAGCAGGGGCGAAGCUUGUGGUGACGGUACCUGCAGAAGAAGCACCGGCUAACUACGUG
rnacentral:rRNA from 1 species